CCCCGCCUUUCGAAAUGAUGAGAAUUCUCUUGUACCCGUCAAUUCAAUAUAGGAAGAGCCGGAAAAGGUAUGGUCCUCACUUUAUUUUUGAGGAUCGUCGCUGCUUAGAACUGGGACUCUGAAGUCAGGAGAGGGGGAAGAAUUG
rnacentral:snoRNA from 1 species